GGAGGGUUGGCAGAAUGGCUAAUGCACCGGUCUUGAAAACCGGCUCCGCUACAAGCGGAUUGGGGGUUCGAGUCCCUCACCCUCCG
rnacentral:tRNA from 1 species